rfam:Mortierella elongata AG-77 unplaced genomic scaffold K457scaffold_23, whole genome shotgun sequence.
GGUCUAUUGGCCCAAUGGAAAGGCGUCUGACUACGAAUCAGGAGAUUGCAGGUUCGACCCCUGCAUAGAUCA